UACAGAGGGUGCGAGCGUUAAUCGGAAUUACUGGGCGUAAAGCGCACGUAGGCGGCUUGGUAUGUCGGGUGUGAAAUCCCCGGGCUCAACCUGGGAACUGCAUCCGAAACUGCCUUGCUAGAGUAUGGGAGAGGGAAGUGGAAUUUCCGGUGUAGCGGUGAAAUGCGUAGAUAUCAGGAGGAACACCGGUGGCGAAGGCGGGUCUCUGGGCCGUAACUGACGCUGAGGAGCGAAAGCAUGGGGAGCGAACAGG
rnacentral:rRNA from 1 species